rnacentral:tRNA from 12 species
CUAUAGCUCAGCUGGGAGAGCGCUUGCAUGGCAUGCAAGAGGUCAGCGGUUCGAUCCCGCUUAG